rnacentral:rRNA from 1 species
UCGCCUGUUUUAUCAAAAACAUCGCUGAAAAUACUAUUUUCAGUACGAUCUGCCCAGUGAUUUAUUCAACGGCCGCAGUAUCCUGACUGUGCUAAGGUAGCAUAAUCAUUAGUUUUUUAAUUGAAAACUCGUAUGAAUGAUUCGACGAGAAAUUUCCUGUCUCUGGGGCAUUUAAAUUUACUUCGAAAGUCAAAAAGCUUUUUCAGUCCCAGAGGACGACAAGACCCUAUAAAACUUUACUUCUUUCUCUAUCCUUCUUUUUAGAAAUCUCCACCUUCGAAAAGAAGUUUUACUGGGGCGGUAAAUUUUAUCAACAAACUUCAUACAAACACACUGAGUGAACUUCACAAACACACUAAGUAAUCAAGACCAAGUUACUUUAGGGAUAACAGCGCAAUGUCUUUUCAGAGCCCUCAUCGGCAAAGACGUUUACGACCUCGAUGUUGAAUUGAAGAACCUACGUGAAGCAGCCCUCACGAAAGGAAGUCUGUUCGACUUUUAAUCCUUCACAUGAUCUGAGUUCCAAACCGGA